CUGCAACUGAGCACCUUUUCUGCAGAAAGUAAAGACAGCCUUGCUAAGAGAUCAUUUGUCUCCAAGCUGACUUUUCUUUGCAGCACCGAUUAUCUAUUUCUAACAAUUUUGGGGGCUCGUCCAGGAUUACAGUCUCCUCUAGGGUGGGUCUCCAGUCCUCUCUUGUGAGAAGGCAUGCCCCACUACCUCGUUUUUGGCAGCCUCAGGGGUGAGGAACCGAGAUCCACCCAGUGUGAUGAAUAAACUGGGACUCUCAGCAACGUGGAAAGAAACUGGCUAGCAACGUAGGGUAAAGGAUCCUCACAUACUGCGGUAAUGACUCUGCACAGACCAAGGAAGGAGAAACCAUGGGAGCUGAGUUGCUGAGUAUUUUCUGAAGCCUUUUCAGAGUUGGAAAUCAGUCAAAUCCUAGUAGUAGCUAGGAUUUAAAGGGAUGGAGGAGGUGUCCUGUUGAUGUCUCUUUUUCCUUCAACAUCAACAAGAAAACCCAAGGUCUUUUUUUCUUAGAGGUUAGUGGGUUAUUUUCCCCUUGGCCUUCCUAAUGGAAAUAUGUGUUGAAGGGGGAGGGUGAUAGAAAAAUAGGAGAGAGAAGGGGAUAUUUGGGGAGACGAAGGCAUGACUCUAAGAUUGAGGAAAGACUGAGGAUGGUAAAUGUAGGGUAAGUGUCAGGAUUUAAGUAGCAUCCUCCGACUAACUGCCAUGAGCUCUGUAUGGUGACAUCGUUGCCGUCCUGCAAUCGGAAACCCCAAGAAAAGCAAAAGGAAAGAAAGUAAGAAGAAAGAGUGGGUGAAAAAUUUGAGGUGUCCCAUACAAUAAGCUUUCGUGGCCAAGAGGCAAAAUCUUUGAGGGUUUUGCAGUUGCUUUCAGACUGGCCAUGGCUUUGUUGUUGUUGUUUGUUUGUUUCUAACUUUACAUACUUAGAUUCUCUGGAGGUUCAAGAAGAGAGUUCACCAUGUGUUGGCCUUGCCUGGUGUGAUUUAUAGUAAUCAGUAACCCUCUGCAGCAUUUAACGACACUUGGACAAAGCAUACUCAAAGAAUACAGGACGGGCUGGGCACAGCUCAUGCUAUAAUCCCAGCACUUUAGGAGGCUGAGGCAGGAGAGUCACUUGAGGCCAGGAGUUUGAGACCAGCCUGGGCAACAUGGUGAGACCGAAUCGCCACAGAAAAUUUAAA
rnacentral:lncRNA from 1 species